rnacentral:rRNA from 1 species
GUGGGGAAUCUUCCGCAAUGGACGAAAGUCUGACGGAGCGACGCCGCGUGAGUGAAGAAGGCCUUCGGGUCGUAAAGCUCUGUCAUCAGGGACGAACGGCCGGUGGAGUGGAAAGCCACCGGAUUGACGGUACCUGAGAAGGAAGCCACGGCUAACUACGUGCCAGCAGCCGCGGUAAUACGUAGGUGGCAAGCGUUGUCCGGAAUUAUUGGGCGUAAAGCGCGCGCAGGUGGGAUCUUAAGUCCAUUUUGAAAGUUCGGAGCUCAACUCCGUGAUGUGAUGGAAACUGGGAUUCUUGAGUACCGGAGAGGAAAGCGGAAUUCCCCGUGUAGCGGUGAAAUGCGUAGAUAUGGGGAGGAACACCAGUGGCGAAGGCGGCUUUCUGGACGGUGUCUGACACUGAGGCGCGAAAGCUAGGGGAGCGAACGGGAUUAGAAACCCUAGUAGUCC